GAUGAAAACUGGAGACAAAAUGCAUGAGACCGACAUUGUAGAGAAAGACUUUUUUCCAACUGAACUGAGUGUAAAUCCAGAUAUUUCUUGCAAGUGCAUCAACCAGUGGCCAAUCUGAAAUUUGGGCAAUGUUCCAUUGUGAAGAGUUUAUGUUUCAUGUCUUUGGUACCUUAAUUGGGCCUCCAGCCAGAAAUUUGUGACUGUAAUUUCCUCACUCUACUAUGGACUUCUCAAUGGUGGCUGCAUCUGUAAGACAGUGAAGCAGGAGGAAAGAGAGCAAGGAGGAAAGAAAAAGCAAAGGGUUUGGUCCACCUUCUUAGAAUCACAGCUGUAUCAAAUGGAGAGGAUGGUUCACCUCCCUCAGGAUUUCAGCUAUUAGGUGUCAUAGUUGCCACAGCCCUGCCAUCUUGAGAUUGCCUGAGGUCUGAGGCAUACCAGAAGAGAAUGGAGUAUUUUCAUAUUCUCCCUCUGUGUUAGGAGCUCAUUUUCCUACUCAAACCAGAGCUAGACUGCCUCUCCUGGAGCUCUCUCUGUCUCUGCCCUAAGGGAUGCUCAAUACAGGUUUCUAGGUAUGUUGUAUUCUGGGUACUGAUACUGCAGGUUGGAGGAGAUGUAAAUUCAACACUGGUUGAUUUGGUGGUAACUUGAAUUCUGGUGUUCUCAAUAUGAUUCCUUCUACUAGAUAGUUUUUCUUUUAUUUAUUUGCUUUUUAGGCCCACACCUGAGGCAUAUAUAAGUUCCCAAGCUAGGGGUGAAAUCAGAGCUACUGCUGCCAGCCUAUGCCACAGCCAUAGCAACUUGGAAUAUGAGCCACAUCUGCGAUCUACACCACAGCUCACGGCAAUACCAGAUUCCCGGCCAACUGGGUGAGGCCAGGGAUAGAACCUGCAUCCUCAUGGAUACUGGUCAGACUCAUUUCCACUGUACCACAAUGGUAGCUCCUACUAGAUAGUUUUUAGAGUCUUUAAGUAGCUGUUGGAUGCAUUCUGUCCAGAUUUGAUAUUUACAUUUAGUAGGGGAGACACUAUGUGGUGUGCUAAUUCCACUUACAUUGAACCAUAAUCACCCAUUUGUUGGGUGUUUGUUGAAUACUUUCUAUUCAUAGGCACUGACCUAGAUUCUGGUGGUACAAUGGCAAGCAAAAAGACAAGGCUCUGUCCCAAAUGAAGCUUACCAUUAAAUGACAAAAGAUUUUUAUUAAUCAUCCUUCCUUUUUUAACACGACUUUUUUUGCCUUUGGCCUUUUUCAAAUCAGUGCCCACCUCCCAAUAAGGUUUUUUGAUUGGUCUAUCCUCUUCUACUCAGAAAUACUCAUGGAUAUCUAAAUUUUAUAGUUGAGACCUAACCUGAGACUUCUAUUCUGUUCUGUAAGGUAUAUAAAUUUAUCAUCACGACCUAACAGAGAAAACUACCUUCUAAAAGACUUCAAAGACUUCAGAUGUCCGGUAGGAAAUAAGAGGCAUAGAAAUCAUUGCUCCCAUCUAUACAGGAAAAAAAAAAGGCUGAAAAAACUAAAAAUCAACAUUAUCUCCUUAAAUCAAUCAGAGAAUCAGAGAGCUGUGGUUACAUGGAAAACAACUGCCCUCAUGGGAAUUCCUGUCAUGGCUCAGUGGUUAAUGAAUCCGACUAGGAACCAUAACAUUGCAAGUUCAGUCCUUAGCCUUGCUCAGUGGGUUAAGGAUCUGGCAUUGUCAUGAGCUGUGGUGUAGGUCACAGACGCUGCUCGGAUCCCACAUUGCUGUGGCUCUGGCAUAGGCUGGUGGCUACAACUCUGAUUAGACCCCUAGCCUGGGAACCUCCAUAUGCUGUGGUGCAGCCCUAGAAAAGACAAAAAACAAAAAACAAAAACAAAAACAAAACCCCAAAAAACACAACUGCCCUCAUGAAGAGAGAUACUGCUGGAUACAGAGACCACACUUACUGGAGCAGAAGACCAGGAAUAGGAAACUCCACAGGAUUCAGUACAGGUUCCUUUUACCCAGUAUAUCUUCUCUGGCUUUGUGUUCUGACACCAAUUGGGUGUCUUACAAUUCACUUCAACUCUGACACUAGCUAGUUGCAAGUCGCAUCGGAUUCCACAAAUUAAAGAGCAAGGUCCUCAAUAAGACUGCCUUUACUUCAGACGCCAGCCACCAGUGAGUUCUCCAGGCUACUCACACUUCUGCCUGGCUGACUACAAAUUGGAGCUUUCCCACAACCCCCUAGGGCUGCACCCAUGGCAUACGGAGGUUCCCAGACUAGGGGUUGAAUCAGAGCUGCAGCUGCCGACCUCUGCCACAGCCACAGCAAUGUCAAAUCCAAGCCACAUCUGUGACCUACACCACAGCUCAUGGCAACGUUGGAACCUUAACCCACUGAGCAAAGCCAAGGAUCAAAGCUGUGUCCUCAUGGAUACUAGUUGGAUUUGUUUCCACUGAGCCACAAUGGGAAUUCUGGAUUUUUCACCAUAAGAAGAGAGAAACCCAGCAGUUGCUACAUUCUGCUGAAUGGCAUCUAUAAUUACCUUAACAUUCAUAGCAGGACAAUGAUCAGAGAGUAAGCCAAUGCCUUCUGUGACUUGUAAGAACUGUGAAAAUAGGGAUUUUAAAAUUAGAGGUGGAAAGAAUUUUAAAGCUCUAUAAAGUUAAUAACUAUAAAGUUAAUAACUCCACUUCAAAAUAUAUCAAGCAAGAGUGAUGUCAGAGAAGACGGCAGAGUAGAAAGCUCCUGGAAUCUCUACCUCCACUUAAACAACUAUUGAACUGACAGAAACUCUCUAAAGUAAAUAAUUUGAUACUCUGGAGUCUAGUUGAAAAGUUGAUCUCAGUGAGCUUUAGCUUUCCUAUUCAGCAGUGGCUACCAUCUUCACACCUCAUUAUAGUAGGGAGCCAAGGGACUGCUGUCUGUGUUCUUAAUGUAGCUUUCUAGAGCCAAGGUUAGCAUUGAGGACAUGGUUCUCCAAAUAUUGAGGUUACGUGUUAUUUCUGAUUGCUACUUUCAUUGAUAAGUGCUCAAUAGCAUAUUUGAACAGGAAGCAGAAAGGAUCAGAAAAUCCAAAGAUAGGAUAGUUGAAAGUAUUUAGUAUAAGGAACAAAAAGGAAAAAAAAA
rnacentral:lncRNA from 1 species